rnacentral:rRNA from 1 species
AACCGAGAACUCCUACGGGAGGCAGCAGCCGCGGUAAUACGUAGGGUGCAAGCGUUAAUCGGAAUUACUGGGCGUAAAGCGUGCGCAGGCGGUUGUGUAAGUCAGAUGUGAAAUCCCCGGGCUCAACCUGGGAAUUGCAUUUGAGACUGCACGGCUAGAGUGUGUCAGAGGGGGGUAGAAUUCCACGUGUAGCAGUGAAAUGCGUAGAUAUGUGGAGGAAUACCGAUGGCGAAGGCAGCCCCCUGGGAUAACACUGACGCUCAUGCACGAAAGCGUGGGGAGCAAACAGGAUUAGAUACCCUAGUAGUCCGACUGAGA